rnacentral:lncRNA from 1 species
GCAGGAAAUGGACCGUUGGAUGACAAUAAAGGGUUACUCUCAUAUAAAAGGAAAGAAACGGGGUGAUUAGGGUUAAGAGUUUUUAACCCUAGCAGCUUCGAGUUUUUGUACUCUCUUUUUCGUCUUCUCUGUUGAUUCGUUCUCUCUGUAGAUCUUGUGUGAUUUUGGUAGAGAGAAUUAGGAAUUUAGAUGAACUCUUGUGUGAGUUCACUAUUGUUGUGAGAAGAUCUUUCGUUUUUGAGAAGUUUUGUAACUGUGUGUUCUUGAGACGCUUUUGCCUAUUUUUGGGCUGUUUAUAGUGGAUUUGAGCUUAUUCCUAAUGGAUGCUCAACGGGGAUGUAGGCGUUAGAUUUGGUCGCCGAACCUCGGGGCCUUUGGGCCGAAAAAUCUCGUGUUCUCUCAUUUUAUUUUUGUUUCUGUGUAUUCGGUUUGAAGUGUGGUUCUGCACGAAUGAAUUUUUCUAAACACAACAGUGGUAUCAGAGCAUUUUAGAAAAAUCUGAUUUGUGCUGCGUUUUGAGUUUCUGCUUUUUAGGCUAGGGUUCGAACACUUAGUUUUGAAGAUCUACAGUUUCUUGUCUUCGAUCCUUUAAAAAUUUUAAAGGAGUUCUUGUAACAUUGUUCAAUUCCCUUUGGUGGUUCUGAGUAUCAAUUUCGACUUCCACAUUUAAAAAUCUCUUUGUAACUGAACGUUUUUCUUAAAGGAGACUAGGGUUUCCAUUUUGAAUCUUACCUAAAUCCACCUUUGUCUAGGGGUCCUUGAGAGAACCCUAGAAUCUGAGGGGACUAGGGCUUUUUGAUUCGAGAAAUUUUACAAUUUUUCUCUGUAUUCAGUUACUGUGAAGAGAUACUUAUGAAUUAUAUAUAUAUAUAUAUAUAUAUAUAUAUAUAUAUAGGUAUAUGUAUCACAUUAAUUUUUCUGGUAGAUUACUGAGUCUAAGAGUAAUCUGUUUUGUACUCCAUUGUGUGCGUGACAAUUUUUUUAAAUAUUAACCUUGCAUAUAGAUACUGUAAUCUCUCAAAUAAUUGACCUCUAUUACAUUACUGCAACAUACUACUUGUUCGUACAUUAUUGAACAUACACAUUGCUCACACUACUACACAUCAUGACUUCUAAGGUAGAUGUCCAGAUGUGGGAUGGCAAAGGAGACUUUAGUCUCUGGCGCCAGAAAAUUAAGGCUCUUAUGCUACAGUUAAAAUGUGCUAAGGCAAUAGAUGAAUCCUGGCCAGAAGGCCUGUCUGAGAAUAGAAAAACAGAAUAAGAUGAACUGGCCUAGAGCACUAUGUUUCUACACUUAACUGACACUGUGAUUAGGAAAGUAGGUGAGACCAAAACUGCUGUAGAAUUGUGAACAGCCCUAGAGAAACAGUACCUCACUAAAACCUUACCAAAUAAAUGUUUUCUUUGGAGGCAGUUUUUCAACUUUAAGUUUGAUCCUAAUCUUGAUAUAGAAGAUAAUAUGGAUAGAUUUAAUAGGAUAACUCAAGACUUGAUAAACUGUGAAGAGAAAAUAUCAGAUGAGCAAAAAGUAGUUGGUCUACUUAAUGCCUUAGUAGAUAAGUACAAAGAUAUAAGAAAUGCUCUGGAGUAUGGUAGGAGUGACCUUACUGUUGAAAUAAUUCACAGUUCUCUAUUGAACAGAGAACUGGAAUUUAAAUCUGAUCACAGAGAUGUAUAUAAUGUGGAGGGUGUGUCACCUAAGCAAAGAACACCUGCUAAAGGUGUGAGCAACUAUAGUUAUUCAAAUUACAACAAGGAUAAAAACUUUGUCAAAAAGAAAUGGAGUAACACCAAAGGAAAAGACAAGAAGCCACUUAAAGGAAAGGCAUAUAAUAACAAGUGCUUUUAUUGUGGAAAAACUAGGCACUUCAUUAAGAAUUGUUUCAAGAAGGCCCAUGACCAAAAGAAAGAUUCCAAUACUGAAAAUGCCUCAUUGAAUGCUCCCAACUAUAGAGAGGCAGGAGCCAAUAUUGGAGUAGCCUAUGUGUCAAUGAUAGAAAAUUAUGAUAAGGACUGGGUCUUAGACUCUGGAUGUUCUUUUCAUAUGACACCUAAUAUAGGCUACCUAACUAACUACUCUGAACUUGAUGAAGGGUCAGUAAAACUUGGAAAUAAUGAGACAUGUAAAGUCAAGGGUAUUGGAAAUGUGUUGCUAAAACUUCAAAAUGGUCAUCACAUGUUGCUAAAACAUACAAGAUACGUUCCAGCCCUAAAAAGAAACCUCAUAUCCCUAGGUGUUCUUGAUGAUGAAAGUUAUCAAAUAGAAAUAAAGAAUGGCUCUACCAAUAUUAUUAGAAAUCAAGAACUUAUUGUCAGGUCAUUAAAGUUGAAUGGAAUUUAUACAAUAAGUGUUGAAAUAAUCUCACCUAAUAAUGGUGUGAAUUUUGUCACACAUACAGAUAAAUCACAAUUAUGGCACAAGAGACUUGGUCAUCUAAGUGAAAAAGGCUUAAAAACUCUAUCAUGUCAAGGGGCUUUUGGAAAAGACAGUGUACAAAAAUUAACAUUUUGUGAACAUUGUAUAAUGGGAAAACAAGUUAGGCUGCCAUUUAAGGUAGGAUUGCAUAAGUCUCGAGAUGUUCUUGAGUACAUACAUUCUGACUUAUGGGGACCUGCCCCAGUGCCAACAGUAUCUGGAAACAAAUAUUACCUUCUUAUCACCGAUGACUAUUCAAGAAAAAUAUGGAUUUUCUUAUUAAAGUCUAAGUCUGAUACCUUUAAAGUUUUCAAAGAAUGGAAUUUAUUGAUUGAAAAUCAGACUAGUAAGAAGAUAAAAAUCUUAAGAACUGACAAUGGGUUUGAAUUUUGCAAUAUCGAAUUUGAUCAAUAUUGCAGUAAACAAGGAAUAAUGAGACAUAAAAUUGUGAGCUAUACCCCACAACAAAAUGGGGUUGCCGAGAGGCUUAAUAGGACAAUUCUUGAGAGGACCAGAUGUAUGUUAAUCAGUUCUGGCCUCCCGAAAGUAUUCUGGGGUGAGGCUGUAAAGACAGCCUGUUAUCUUAUCAAUAGAUGUCCUUCCAGCUCUCUGAAUAACAGAAUUCCCGAACAAAUCUGGUCUGGUUCAAUGCUAGAUUAUUCUCACCUAACGACUUUUGGAUGUGCAGCUUAUGCACAUCAUAUUGAGUCAAAACUGGACCCUAGAUCAAUGAAGGGUGUGCUCUUAGGAUAUGAAGAAGGGGUUAAAGGCUAUAGAUUGUGGUUAAGAGAUGUGAAGGGUUAUAGAGUGAUAUUAAGCAAAUCUGUUAUCUUUAAUGAAGAUAAUUUUCCUUGUCUUAGUGACAAAUCUGGUGAGAAGUUAGGAAAGAAUGACUUUAUUAUCACAGAAAUUAAUCUUGAUAAUCACAAUUCUGAUGACCAGGCUCAGUUUGAGUUGGAGCCACAUCAGAUAGUACCCCAAAAUGAUUCUGAUGUUGAAAUAAUUGAAGAUGAACAACAUCUAGAGCCUGCGCAUGACCUGCAAGGCUAUCAACUUGCUAGGGAUAGAGAAAGGAGGGAAAUAAGACCUCCUUCUAGGUAUCAACAUGCUAAUUUUGCAUCUGAUCAAUCUGAAACUGAUCUGUUUGAACUAGAACCUACCUCUUAUGAAGAGGCUAUAUCUUCCAAGGAAUCCCCUAAGUGGAUUGUCGCGAUGGAAGAUGAAAUGAACUCACUCUUUAAGAAUGAAACCUGGACUUUAGUAGAAAAACCUAAAGAUUGUAAGUUGAUUGAUUGUAAAUGGGUUUAUAAAAUUAAAGAGGGUGAGAGAAAGGUUACUUAUAAGAGGUUUAAGGCAAGACUUGUAGCUAAAGGCUUUAAUCAAAGGGAAGGGAUAGAUUAUAAUGAAAUUUUUUCACCAGUUGUUAAAUAUACAUCCAUUAGAGUCCUACUUGCUAUAGUGACACAAUUUGAUUUGGAGUUAGAACAACUUGAUGUGAAAACUGCCUUCCUGUAUGGUUCUUUAGAUGAAACCAUACAUAUGACUCAACCAAGAGGGUUUGAAGUAGUAGGAAAGAGAAACUUAGUGUGUCUCUUAAAGAAAUCUUUGUAUGGCCUAAAACAGGCCCCUAGAUAAUGCUAUAAAAGAUUUGACUCUUUUAUACAAGGUUUGAACUUUAGGAAAUCAGAAUAUGAUCCAUGUUUCUAUUACAAGAAAGAAGGGGAAUCUGAUUUUUUCUAUCUACUUUUGUAUGUUGAUGAUAUGCUCCUUGCUGGUCACAAUUCUGUUACACUUAAUUCAAUUAAAGAAAAUUUGAAAUCUGAAUUUGAAAUGAAAGAUUUAGGACCAGCUAGAAAGAUUUUGGGCAUGGAAAUAAAAAGAGAUAGGAUAAAUGGAAAGUUGUUUCUAACACAAAAAUCUUAUGUUGAUAAGGUUGUAAAAAGGUUCUCCCUUCAUGAAUCUAAGCCUAUUAGUUUGCCUUUAUCUGCUGGUAUGAAAUUAUCUGUCAAUCAAUCACCUAAAACUGAAGAAGAGCAUAAAAGAAUGAUAAAUGUACCUUAUUCUAAUACUGUUGGAUCUGUUAUGUAUGUUAUGGUUUGCUCUAGACCUGAUAUUGCUUAUGCCGUGAGUGUGUUAAGUAGAUUUAUGAGUAACCCAGGUGAAAUACAUUGGCAAUGCAUGAAAAUCUGAUUAAGUACUUGAAAGGAACUAGUAACUUAGGUUUAAUGUUCAAAACAAAUAAAAAUGAACUUAGACUUAAGGGAUAUGUAGAUUUAGAUUUUGCUGGCAACCCAGACAUUAGGAAGUCCACAACUGCAUAUUUUUAUGUUAUAAAUAAUACAAGCAUUAGCUAGAAAUCCUAGCUUCAAAAAUUGGUUGCAUUGUCUUCAACCGAAGCUGAAUACAUUGCUACAACUGAAGCGGUGAAAGAGGGGUUGUGGUUGAAGGGUUUACUUAGUGAAUUAAGACUUAUAGAAAAUCAGGUGGAGCUAUGUUCAGAUAACCAAAGUGCCAUUUUUCUUAGUAAAAAUCCUAUUUUACAUGAUAGAUCUAAACACAUAGAUGUUAAGUUCCAUUUCAUUAGAGAUAUCAUUGAUAGGGGUGAUAUUAGAUUGGUUAAAAUUCCAACGAAGGUAAAUCCAGCAGAUGCUGGAACUAAGGUAAUCCCUAUUAGUAAAUUUAUAGAUUCUUUGAGAUUAAUUAAUCUUGAAGAAUACUAACUUCUGUUUUCUUUGCAGGUAAAUAGAGCAAGUGAAGUCAGUUUUAAGUUUAAAUCCACUUAUGUACUGUCACAAAAUGCAGCAAAAGGUGGAGAUUGUAAGAAUUAAUUUGCUGGAUUUUGUGUUUUGGCCCAGCUGAUUUAAAUGGACUGUAAAGUAUGGCCCAAACUUGGUGGGCAAUUGAUGAUCCAUUGUGAAGAAACUUCCAGAACUAGGGCCGGGUUGUUAUAAGUGCAAAACAGAAAUGCGUUUUUUGUUAUGAAAUAACAACUCUUCCGGAUUCAAGACAAGUGGCAGGAAAUGGACCGUUGGAUGACAAUAAAGGGUUACUCUCAUAUAAAAGGAAAGAAACGGGAUGAUUAGGGUUAAGAGUUUUUAACCCUAGCACCUUCGAGUUUUUGUACUCUCUUUUUCGUCUUCUCUGUUGAUUCGUUCUCUCUGUAGAUCUUGUGUGAUUUUGGUAGAGAGAAUUAGGAAUUUAGAUGAACUCUUGUGUGAGUUCAAUAUUGUUGUGAGAAGAUCUUACGUUUUUGAGAAGUUUUGUAACUG